rnacentral:rRNA from 1 species
GGGUCAGUAGGUUGGUCGUGCCACCGGUACGUACUGGUCUCACUGAUUCCUCCUUCCUGAAGAACCGUAAUGCCAUUAAUUUGGUGUUGCGGGGAAACAGGACUGUUACUUUGAAAAAAUUAGAGUGUUUGAUGCAAGCUAACGCUUGAAUACAUUAGCAUGGAAUAAUGAAAUAGGACGAUCGAUCCUAUUUUGUUGGUUUCUAGGAUUGACGUA